CACAAUCAAAGAGGGUGAUAAUCCCGUAUCUAAAAACCAUAUUGUGGUACUAAGCUAACGAGAAGUAGGGCGGGACACGUGAUAUCCUGUUUGAAGAAGGGGGGCCCAUCCUCCAAGGCUAAAUACUCCUGAUUGACCGAUAGUGAACCAGUACUGUGAAGGAAAGGCGAAAAGAACCCCGGUGAGGGGAGUGAAAUAGAACCUGAAACCUUGUACGUACAAGCAGUGGGAG
rnacentral:rRNA from 1 species